GCAAGUCGAACGGUAACAUGGAUUGCUUGCAAUCUGAUGACGAGUGGCGCACGGGUGCGUAACGCGUAUGCAAUCUACCUUUUACAGGAGAAUAGCCCAGAGAAAUUUGGAAUAAUGCUCCAUAAUAUCAUUUAUCAGCAUUGGUUUAUGAUUAAAGCUCCGGCGGUAAAAGAUGAGCAUGCGUUCUAUUAGCUAGUAGGUGAGGUAACGGCUCACCUAGGCUACGAUAGAUAGGGGCCCUGAGAGGGGGAUCCCCCACACUGGUACUGAGACACGGACCAGACUCCUACGGGAGGCAGCAGUGAGGAAUAUUGGACAAUGGAGGAAACUCUGAUCCAGCCAUGCCGCGUGCAGGAUGACUGCCCUAUGGGUUGUAAACUGCUUUUAUAUAGGAAGAAACACUCCCACGUGUGGGGGCUUGACGGUACUAUAUGAAUAAGGAUCGGCUAACUCCGUGCCAGCAGCCGCGGUAAUACGGAGGAUCCAAGCGUUAUCCGGAAUCAUUGGGUUUAAAGGGUCCGCAGGCGGCCUGUUAAGUCAGAGGUGAAAUCCUACAGCUCAACUGUAGAACUGCCUUUGAUACUGAUAGGCUUGAGUUAUUGUGAAGUGGUUAGAAUGUGUGGUGUAGCGGUGAAAUGCUUAGAUAUCACACAGAAUACCCAUUGCGAAGGCAGAUCACUAACAGUAUACUGACGCUCAUGGACGAAAGCGUGGGGAGCGAACAGGAUUAGAUACCCUGGUAGUCCACGCCGCAAACGAUGGAUACUAACUGUUCGACCUUCGGGUUGAGUGGUCAAGCGAAAGUGAUAAGUAUCCCACCUGGGGAGUACGCUCGCAAGAGUGAAAC
rnacentral:rRNA from 1 species